UCAACACUCAGUCGAAAUGGUACUUGGGACUUCAAGUGUGGGUCUUUUCCCAGGCUAGUGAUAAGCAGUAUAAUGCUGUCUCAUGUUGCUGGGCAGCAGUGUUAAGGCAUUAGUCACAUGACCCAAAGCAACCAAUGGGCCUGCUCCAGUACAGAGCUGUAAAGUGAAGACGCCUGAUGCUGAAAAUUGAGACCAAAAGAAGGAAACAAACUUGCACAUGGUUGUUAUUUAAUGCAUAAGCAGCACUUAAAACCAAGUGCUAUCCUAAACCAAGUGAUACCCUAAAGAUGUGCCGGACAUCUGGUCUCAUAAGAAGAUUAAAGAACAGUUCCAGUGUACCACAAGCCCAGAACAUGCUGUGUGAGCCAGUGGCUAACAUCAAAUGCAGUGAUCUUGGCUCAGGGCUUGGGGAGCUGAGAAAUAAAAAUAACACAUGAACAAA